rnacentral:rRNA from 1 species
UACAGAGGUGGCAAGCGUUGUUCGGAAUUACUGGGCGUAAAGGGCGCGUAGGCGGUCUUGUAAGUCUUGUGUGAAAUCCCUCGGCUCAACUGAGGAACUGCACGGGAUACUGCGAGACUUGAGUUCGGGAGAGGGAAGCGGAAUUCCGGGUGUAGCGGUGAAAUGCGUAGAUAUCCGGAGGAACACCGGUGGCGAAGGCGGCUUCCUGGCCAAGUACUGACGCUGAGGCACGAAAGCGUGGGGAGCGAACGGG